AAGAAACAGAGAAAAGAAAAGAAACAGAGGAAAGAAAAGAAGGAUCAGGGAUUUCUUCCAAAGUCAAUGCCAUGCGUAGAACGUUUUUUCGCUUCCUUGUUGAUGCUAUCAUCCCACGAGGAUUUCAAGAAUUCGAAUGGGGACGAAAGUGUGCGAAGCAAUAUUC
rnacentral:ribozyme from 13 species